AGCCUGCCGAGCAGAGGCGGCGGGCACAGCGCGGGGCCGCCCCCUCCCGACCCCCACACCGUCGCCGGCUGCGGCGAGAAGCGGCACGCACUUCUCGUCGGCGCGGCGGUGCGAAGGAGCUGAUGCUGCCCGGCACGUCGCUGCAGCGGGCCUGCCGCCUCCUCUUCGCCCUCUACGCGCUGCUUCUCUCGGUCACGCUAACUCUGCUACCUGCAGGCAGCCCCUGAAGCCCCCGCCGGCGCCCCGCCCGCCGUCGACCCGAGAUUCUGCCCCGACCCCUCCCCACUGCUCGAGGUUGGAGUCCUGGGCAGAAGCGGGCGUUUUGUGCCAUCAGCGGGGCACGUUUCAGAACAGCGGGGCCAGGAGAAGGGAACUCUGGCCACCAGCGCUGCGACGUGCCGGGUGAGCUGCGUGGCCUCCUGCUGCAGAACACUGCGAGACUUCUGAGAAGCUCCCUGUGGGUUUCUUGUAGCAAAACCGACGCAGAAAUUCAUCGUUUCACUCGGUGCUCGCUGGUCAGCCGGAUCAAUGCGACUGAAUAGCAAAUGAAGGGGUUGUUAGGAAGGUGGUUUUGAAGUCACUAAGAGGGACUGCAUUGGAUUGGUUUGUUUGUUUGUUUGUUUGCUUUUUUUUGGGGGGGGGGGGUUGUUUUGGGCUGUUUUUGAUUCGUGUUUUUCACUUUUCCCCUCCCAUCGCUUAGUGCUGCAAGUAGCCGUGUACUCAGGCUAUGCAUGGGGAUGUGCAGCCCCUUUGGAGCAAAGCUUUGCUCCAACCGGCCCGCUCACACUGAACCUCCCGGGCACUCUGAAGUCCUGGGAGCUGGGAGAGUUCCAUGUCCCCCGGACUCAGAGCAUUACCCAGUCAGUGCCCGGAUGGUCAGCUGAAAACAGAGUCACCGUUCCCAGAGCUGUGCCAGAAAUGUGGAGAUGCGGCACUGAUUAGCGGGCAUACCGCCGACGGGUCGGUGACUGGACUUGAUGGUCUCACAGGUCUUCCCAACCUUAGUGAUGACAUGUGAUUCUGUCACUUUGUACUGUCGCUGUAUCGCUUCCGUGCAGCUUUUGCACGGGUGCAGGCAAGGGCACGGGUGGUGGUUGUGGAUGCUCAGAGAGCCCCUCGUGGCUCAGGACUCGUUGGUUUCCAGCAGCCCCAGUACCAGGGUGCUCUCAGGUGUGGGCUGGCACUCACCCACAUGGCUCUGAGGUCUUCAGCCAGCACGUUGGUGAGGAACCUGACUGCUCCGUGGUACUGCAUUUCUCACCACUUCUUUCAAGUUUUGGCAGCAGAGAACUUUUGUGAAACUGCCUUAACGUGCCUCAGAUUUUGGUCAGAGUUAUCUGCUCUGAUAAUCUGCUCGUGUCUCUGUGAUCAGCAUGGAACUGAGGAGGGGUCAUAUCCACAGGCAUUUCUCCCUCGCUCAGAAUUCGUGCCAGCCUCCUCUUUGCGCACAGAGCUGCUUUAGGAAUGGGCAUAAUGGGUGGGAUCCAAGAGGGACCUUUUUGGUGUCCCCACGUUCCCAAAGCCAUGUGUCAGUGCUCCACUGUGAGCGGAUGGCUCCAUCUGCCCCAUUCCCCCAGCACAAAACUCUUGUUUGUGGAGACAUGCCUCCUUCUCGGGCUUCCUUUUCCCUUUCUUCCCUCACUGGAAGGCAUGUAAUGAAUUGUGCAGGGGACGUGUGACCAAGCUGCUCAGGCUUUCUGAGCAGCCAGUGACACACUUGCUGCCAGAGGCCCAGAGGUUUCUCCCUGGUGAUGCUCAGAGAGAGAACCCAACAGUCCGUGCCAUGGGGCUCCUGGACAAACACGUGAGCUGAGUGAAGUGUGAUCUCUGCAAGAACCUGCUGAACGUAAUAUGCUUUUAUGGUUCACUUCCCUUUAUUUGUAACUUGAAAGUAUAGAUCAAGGCUGGCAAAAUAAUGCUGUAAUUCAAAUUUGGAUUAAAAGUUUCUAAUGUCUAGGAAGUUGUGUAAUAUAAGGUAAUAAAAGCAUGUUGGAUCU
ensembl:lncRNA